CGCCUAACACAUGCAAGUCGAACGAAGUAGCAAUACUUAGUGGCAGACGGGUGAGUAACAUGUGGGUAUCUACCCUUUGGCCUGGAAUAACACGAGGAAACUUGUGCUAAUACCGGAUAAGUCUUUACGGAGAAAGCUUUAUGCACCAUUGGAUGAGCCCGCACUUGAUUAGUUUGUUGGUGGGGUAAUGGCCUACCAAGACUGUGAUCAAUAGCUGAUUUGAGAGGAUGAUCAGCCACAUUGGGACUGAGACACGGCCCAAACUCCUACGGGAGGCAGCAGUGGGGAAUCUUGCACAAUGGAGGAAACUCUGAUGCAGCGAUGCCGCGUGAGUGAAGAAGGCCUUUGGGUUGUAAAGCUCUUUCGUCGGGGAAGAAAAUGACUGUACCCGAAUAAGA
rnacentral:rRNA from 1 species